rnacentral:rRNA from 1 species
UACAGAGGGGGCUAGCGUUGUUCGGAAUUACUGGGCGUAAAGGGCUCGUAGGCGGUUCGUCACGUCGGGAGUGAAAACUCGGAGCUCAACUCCGAGCCUGCUUCCGAUACGGGCAGACUAGAGGUAGGCAGGGGAGAGCGGAACUCCUGGUGUAGCGGUGGAAUGCGCAGAUAUCAGGAAGAACACCGGUGGCGAAGGCGGCUCACUGGCCCGAUACUGACGCUGGAGGUGCGAAAGCGUGGGGAGCAAACAGG